rnacentral:rRNA from 1 species
AUUGAACGCUGGCGGCAUGCCUUACACAUGCAAGUCGAACGGUAACAGGUCUUCGGAUGCUGACGAGUGGCGAACGGGUGAGUAAUGCAUCGGAACGUGCCCAGUAGUGGGGGAUAGCCCGGCGAAAGCCGGAUUAAUACCGCAUACGACCUGAGGGUGAAAGGGGGGGAUCGCAAGACCUCUCGCUAUUGGAGCGGCCGAUGUCAGGUUAGCUAGUUGGUGGGGUAAAGGCCUACCAAGGCAACGAUCUGUAGUUGGUCUGAGAGGACGACCAGACACACUGGGAAUGUGACACGGACCAGACUCCGACGGGAGGCAGCAGUGGGGAAUUUUGGACAAUGGGUGCAAGGCUGAUCCAGCAAUGCCGCGUGCAGGAAGAAGGCCUUCGGGUUGUAAACUGCUUUUGUCAGGGAAGAAAUCUUCUGGGUUAAUACCUGGGGCUAAUGACGGUACCGUAAGAAUAAGCACCGGCUAACUACGUGCCAGCCGCCGCAGUAACAC